CCUCCCCACCACAACAGCAACACCGCAACCCACUUCCGGGUCCUCCCCGGAACUGACGUUUCUAUAGCGCCGGUUUCCGGCGCCGGGCGGCCCCGCGGCGGCGGCAGCGCUGUGGGGGCUGGCUAACCGGUACCACGAUGAAAGAAGUAGAAAUAAGGAGGCUCUUUGCUGCCAAUCUCCUCUGCGUGUUCUCGGUUAUUCUGACAGCGGUUGUUCCGGCUUUCCUCUGGGACGGAUUCACGGUCUUGGGAACACACCUCGCGUGGCUGUGUAUUUGUUCUGUUUGCGUUGGUACCGUUAAUGUAAUCUUGCACUUAGUCCUUAAGCCAAAUCGUUCUCCUAAGAGAAGUUCGCUUGCUCACAAGAUAUCCAGAUUUCUAAAAUGCUGUAUAUACUUUUUCAUGUCUUGCAUAGUAUUUCAUGCCAUUAUUGUUCUCUAUGGAGCACCUCUCCUAGGGUCAGUGACUGAGACGUUUUUGUUUUCAGUUCUCCUCUCUACCUUUACGACUUUACAAUGCUUGUGUAUGCUGGGACCAAACAUCCAAGCGUGGAUACGGGUAUUUAGUAAAAAUGGAGCUAUGUCCAUCUGGGAAAGCAGUUUGCAAAUUACUACUGUGUGCAGUAUACUUGGAGCUUGGUUUGGAGCAUUUCCUAUUCCUCUUGAUUGGGAUCGGCCUUGGCAGGUAUGGCCCAUUUCCUGUUCCUUCGGAGCUACCUUUGGCUAUGUGGCUGGUCUGAUUAUUGCACCUCUGUGGAUACACUGGAACCGGAAGCAGCUUACAUACAAAAGCAGAUAACUGGAGCAAAGAGAGACAAGUGGCAUCACAAUGUUUGGCUGUGAUCUAGAAAAGCUACCUGCAUGUGCAUCCCCCUGUAGAGAAAAGAUUUGUCUUUUGGUCAAAGAUCCAGAAUGCAUUUAAGUUGGGUUUCUUUACAAAGGAAGCGUAUUAAAUAAGCUCUUUGGCCUGGCACUGGAGUCCUAAGAUAUGGGCUUCUCUUUCAUGUCAUUCAGUCUUGCCAGAGUUUUUGGGUCAUCACGAAGAUCAAUCUAGCAAGGAAGAUAGCAGUCAUGUUAGAAUACUUUUCCUAAACAAAAGUCAGCAGGCUAUAUAAUACCCUCUUUCAGAAGCAAAAGCAUUUAUUUAAUGGAGUAUUAUGUGUAUACAAAUGGAGUCAUGCAUGAUUCAGAUCAUGGACUCUUCCUGAUCCAAAAAGUCCUGGAAGUUUAAGCUGUGAACUACCACCUUUAAUCCAGAAGGAAGAAACGUAUAUUCUGUAAUUCAGCUCUUCAGUUAGAUGUGAUCAUCUUGGAAUGCCAGAAGGUACAUCCAGCAGUGGCAGAAG